AAAAAGUACAGAAAGGGGACUAAUCAAAAGUAAUACAAUGAUAGCAGGGGAGUUUAACACCCCACUUACAUCAAUGGACAGAUCCUCCAGACAGAAAAUCAACGAGGAAACAGUGGCUUU